rnacentral:piRNA from 1 species
GCAGCAGCCUGAACCAAGAAGCCUGG